UCCCUGAUAGCUCAGUUGGGAAAGAAUCUGCCUGCAUGCAGGAGACCCAGGUUCGAUUCCUGGAUUGGGAA
rfam:Ovis aries breed Texel chromosome 4, whole genome shotgun sequence.